rnacentral:lncRNA from 12 species
UGCACAAGCAUUUGAAAAGCACUUUCGGGGUCUUUUGUUGUGGUUUGAUUGGUUCUCUCUUGGUACAUAUUCACAGACUACGAGAUCCAGAGACAGAUGGAGGUUCUACAGAGCAGUUAGACGGCUCUUAAUGAGACCCGAGCAUUUGACAGCAAAUCUGGGUGAGGAGGCCCAGAACAGGCAGAUUUCCACAAGCACUGCAUUCUCCUUAACACAAUUCCGAUGAGGGAUAAGGAAGGCCUGCAAGACUACAGGUUCAUGCCAGAGCCCAA